rnacentral:rRNA from 1 species
UACAGAGGGUGCAAGCGUUGUUCGGAAUUACUGGGCGUAAAGGGCUCGUAGGCGGCCAACUAAGUCAGACGUGAAAUCCCCAGGCUUAACCUGGGAACUGCGUCGGAUACUGGAUGGCUUGAAUCCGGGAGAGGGAUGCAGAAUUCCAGGUGUAGCGGUGAAAUGCGUAGAUAUCUGGAGGAAUACCGGUGGCGAAGGCGGCAUCCUGGACCGGCAUUGACGCUGAAGCGCGAAAGCUAGGGGAGCAAACGGG